GAUAUCUGUUGGUUUUCUUGAUUUCAUACUCUCGAUUCUCCACGUAACCUUACCUUGAACACCCACUGACGGGGGAAGCCAGAACUGUCUGUUGCUGUGUGUGGUGUAAACGCUGCCUUACACAGCAAAAAUCACCCUCUGGAGGUGCGAUUGAAUUGUGGGGUCUCGUAGUGGAGACAACCUGGAAUGUGCAGGUGAGGGGUCCCAAGGAGAGGAUGUGAGCCACAUGGACAAAGUCAAUGGGAAGAAUUUACCAUUGAAGAGAAUGGGAAGAGGAUUAAAUGUCUAUCUCCAAUCCAGUUUCUCUGGAGUGCUUCAUCCGAAGGGACAGAAUACUUUAAAGGGCUAAUCCUGACAGUAGGCAAAACUUGAAUGAAUUUCCUCUCUUCAUUCUAAGCAAAGCCACCGGACAAGACAGGGCCUGUUGGAUUACUUGAGGAAACCAAGGCACAUAAAUGUUACGUCAUCUGUCAGAGCUGGGGAGGAACGGAUUUCCUAUUCAAAGCCAGGACUGUCUAAGGGCAGUGGCCAGCCCUCCGGCUGCGGUGUAGAGGCAGUGCCAAGAGGAAGGAGGUUGAUGAAGGAUGAGAUUUGCACAGAGAAGGUUGAAGAAUGGCCAACGCUGCAAGCCUUCAGCUUUGUUUUGUUUGCUGAACG
rnacentral:lncRNA from 1 species